CAUGGCAGGCCUGGAGGAGAGGUGGAGGGGACGGAUUCUUGGAAAUAUGAUAGAAGAGAGAGGCUUGACGCGGAGCCUCCUGGGAUUAACGGUCUGUAUCAGUCAGAGCGUCAUGGACCCGGCAUCCUCCUUCUCAGUCCGCGGGAGUUUCCUUUUUCACGAGGAGAAAGCCUUGGAGUGACUUCUGCCCACAGAAAAGGUUCAGAACCUGGAGAGCCCUCUCAUCGCUGAAAGCUCCUGACUCCAGUGUGGUAGAAAAGAUGCUGGAGCCCCGUCUAACAUGGAGGAAGCAGACCAGGGGAGGACCAACCCCAGAUGUGCUGGAAAACCAUCCAAGAAGAAACAAAAAUUAUAACAACUUCCGGUUUACCCUCAAAGACCCCAAAAAAUAUGUCUUCUAAUUUGAUAACAUGUCAGAAGCAGAUGUAAUGUCAUUUAAGGAUCAAGUUGCUUUAUACCAGUUCAAGCAAUCAUUUUAGUAUCUAUGAAUGAAAGGAACAUAGUUUUAUUUCUGCUUUUUCAUUUUAACAGGUUGCUCCAGGUAAGACCAGGGAAAUGUUUAUUUGACUCUCAUACUCAAAUUUCUUUCACUUAACAAUUUGGAAAAUACUGCCCAAGAUGUUUGUAGUCACCUAAAUUCACAAGAGCUUUUGGGUAAAAUUUCAACUGUCAAUUGAAAUAAAUUCACAACGUGAGACUGACA
rnacentral:lncRNA from 1 species